UUAGAUUUAGUAUAAUAAAGUAUAAACAACUGUUAAUUGUUAGGUCUUGUCCAUAUAGAAUUCUAAG